AACUUAUCAAGAGUGAUACUAGGGACCGGCCCGUUUUGAGUAUCCAGCAACCUGUAUUAACAAGGUGCUAAUUCCGGCAUGUGAAUGCGAAGAUAAGAA
rnacentral:ncRNA from 20 species